UACGUAGGUGGCGAGCGUUAUCCGGAAUUACUGGGCGUAAAGGGCGCGGUAGGCGGCUUAUCAAGUCAGGCGUGAAAUUCCCGGGCUCAACCUGGGGACUGCGCUUGAUACGGCGGGGCUUGAGGGCAGGAGAGGCUCGCGGAAUUCCCAGUGUAGAGGUGAAAUUCGUAGAUAUUGGGAAGAACACCGAUGGCGAAGGCAGCCAUCUGGACCGACACUGACGCUGAGGCGCGAAAGCGUGGGGAGCGAACGAGGA
rnacentral:rRNA from 1 species